GGGGACGUAACAAAGCGACCCAGGAAUGCUUGGGCGUGCCUCCACCCACGCCGGCGUCGGCGGGCGUAUUUCGCCUCACAGUAGGUCGCCGCGACCCGUUGCUUUUGGGGACGUCGAAGGCCCGGACGGAUUGGUACCCUACCGGCUGGGGAUGCGGCUUCGGCUUCUCCUCUUGUCCGGUGGGCGAAACCGCCGGUGUCCUGGCUGCCCUGCGACGGUCGUAGAGACGAGCCCUCCCCAUUCGUGGGGGGCGGCUCUCGCGGCGUGCAAAAGGUCGGUGAUCCACCCGACCCGUCUUGAAACACGGACCAAGGAGUCUAACAUGUGUGCGAGUCAGUGGGCGCACUAAACCCAGAGGCGUAAUGAAAGUGACACGGGUUCGGCUGUCGCCUCGUGUGGCAGCCGGACUCAGGGCCGAUCCCUCACCGGUUGCCCUCGCCUCUCUCCCGCGUCUCGGUAAGCCGGGUGAGCUAUUUUCCCCGGCCAAUGCUGCGGGGCUCGGGGGGAGGCGGGGUUGCGAUGGUGUCCGUAAAAAAGAGCCUGCUGUUGCAGGGGGGCGCAGGCCCGGGACUUGCCAGGACGCCGCGAGACUGUCACUUUGCUGUGAGGCUCUAGGGCCGAUCAGCGGGUCAUGCGUGCAGUCGGCAAGUACCAUGAGCAGACAUGUUGGGACCCGAAAGAUGGUGAACUAUGCCUGGCCAGGAUGAAGCCAGAGGAAACUCUGGUGGAGGUCCGUAGCGAUUCUGACGUGCAAAUCGAUCGUCGGAGCUGGGUAUAGGGGCGA
rnacentral:rRNA from 1 species